UACGAGGUGGACAAACGUUAUUCGGAUUUACUGGGCUUAAAGCGUGCGUAGGCGGCUCAGAAAGUAGGGUGUGAAAGCCCUCGGCUCAACCGAGGAAUUGCGCUCUAAACUACUGAGCUUGAGGGAGAUAGGGGAGAGCGGAACUGAUGGUGGAGCGGUGAAAUGCGUUGAUAUCAUCAGGAACACCGGUGGCGAAGGCGGCUCUCUGGAUCUCUUCUGACGCUGAGGCACGAAAGCUAGGGGAGCAAACGGG
rnacentral:rRNA from 1 species